ACCUACGGGGGGCAGCAGUGGGGAAUAUUGCGCAAUGGGCGAAAGCCUGACGCAGCGACGCCGCGUGAGGGAUGAAGGUCUUCGGAUCGUAAACCUCUGUCAGCAGGGAAGAACGGUCACUGUGCUAAUCAGCAGUGAAUUGAUGGUACCUGCAAAGGAAGCACCGGCUAACUCCGUGCCAGCAGCUGCGGUAAUACGGAGGGUGCGAGCGUUAAUCGGAAUUACUGGGCGUAAAGCGCUCGUAGGCGGUAUGUCAAGUCAAGGGUGAAAUCCCCGCGCUCAACGUGGGAACUGCCUUUGAAACU
rnacentral:rRNA from 1 species